CCUUUAUGUUUUGAUUUAUAUAAUUGAUAUAAAUCAAAACAUCGUGUUAUUUCUGAUUCAUUUUUCGAAUUACUUUAUUAAGGUGUUGAGAACCUUUGGUGACCCCACAGUUUAAGUGUCUUUAAAAAGUACAUAGUGAACAGUGGUCGUUACAUACAAACGUUCACCUAAAUUGUCCCAGUCAAUGGAUGAAUUUAAUGUGUCAAUCAAUGGCCACAGCCACACUGUUUUGAAUUUCAUUCUAUCUGUCAAGAUAAACCGAAUAAUAUCAUGUAACUACAUGUAUGUAUAAUCAUGAC
rnacentral:lncRNA from 1 species